rnacentral:Y_RNA from 1 species
GACUGGUCUGAGUGCAGUGGUAUUUACAAUUAAUUGAUCACAAGUUACAGAUUCCUUUGUUCUUUCUCCGCUCCCGCUGCUUCAAUUGACUAGCCUAAA